rnacentral:rRNA from 1 species
AGCGUAGACGGAUUAGCAAGUCUGAUGUGAAAGGCAGGGGCUCAACCCCUGGACUGCAUUGGAAACUGCCAGUCUUGAGUGCCGGAGAGGUAAGCGGGAUUCCUAGUGUAGCGGUGAAAUGCGUAGAUAUUAGGAGGAACACCAGUGGCGAAGGCGGCUUACUGGACGGUAACUGACGUUGAGGCUCGAAAGCGUGGGGAGCAAACA